rnacentral:rRNA from 1 species
GUAAUACGUAGGGUGCAAGCGUUAAUCGGAAUUACUGGGCGUAAAGCGUGCGCAGGCGGUCCGCUAAGACAGAUGUGAAAUCCCCGGGCUUAACCUGGGAACUGCAUUUGUGACUGGCGGGCUAGAGUAUGGCAGAGGGGGGUAGAAUUCCACGUGUAGCAGUGAAAUGCGUAGAGAUGUGGAGGAAUACCGAUGGCGAAGGCAGCCCCCUGGGCCAAUACUGACGCUCAUGCACGAAAGCGUGGGGAGCAAACAGGAUUAGAUACCCUGGUAGUCCACGCCCUAAACGAUGUCAACUAGUUGUCGGGUCUUCAUUGACUUGGUAACGUAGCUAACGCGUGAAGUUGACCGCCUGGGGAGUACGGUCGCAAGAUUAAAACUCAAAGGAAUUGACGGGGACCCGCACAAGCGGUGGAUGAUGUGGAUUAAUUCGAUGCAACGCGAAAAACCUUACCUACCCUUGACAUGUA